AUAAUACAUUAUUUCAUACAACCGCAUAAUGUGACAGAAGGAGUUACUUUUGCUUUUAACAUCUCUAUUUUGGUUGUAAUUCACCACUUCCUGAUAAUUUGACUCUUUCACCAGAGUCAUCUAGCGGGCUGAUCAGUUUAAACUUAAUUGUUGUUCUUUGUUAUUGUGUUUAACAUUGUUUUGUCACCAUUGAUUAUUCAGGCAACCCUGUGCAUGAGGGGACAGAAACCAGGAGCUCUAAAAUUAACCUGAAUUGGAGCUUGUCUGAACUGAACAACUUUGUGUGUCAAAGCUACCCACAAAUCAGCCUAAAUCUGGUUGGCUUUGAACUGGCAAGAGCUGGAAAAGGACGAAAGGUAAAAAAAUUACAAGUGAAUUCUGUGAGGGAGCUGAAGGAAAAGGUUGGCAAAAGCAGACUCUACAUUCUACCACGAGCAGAUGUGUCACAGGAAACCUACUCAACCUCAGCAAUGUCCAGGACUUUGUUUCCAGAACCCUCAAUUGUACCAGAAGUACAGAAUAUCUCUCCAGAGGCUGAGAGUACCAACAGACAACAUUUGGGGGAAGAGCAGACACUUCUAGAUUGGCAAUCUCUGCGGUCCCAGCAAGACAAAGAGUAUGAAGAGUCUUUGCUAGCAGACCAAGAAAAAGAAAGGAGAAGACAGUGUUACAAGGCCUGGGAGGAAAGACGCAUAAAAGCAAUUGAAGAACGCCAGCAACGACUGGCGGUACAUGAAGAACCAUCAAGUGGGCUGCUUUUGAAGUUCAAAUAUCCGAAUGGAUUUAUCACAAAGAGAACUUUCAAUGUGUCUGACCCAAUCC